UACGUAGGGCGCAAGCGUUGUCCGGAAUUAUUGGGCGUAAAGAGCUCGUAGGUGGCUUGUCACGUCGGGUGUGAAAGCUUGGGGCUUAACUCCAGGUCUGCAUUCGAUACGGGCUGGCUAGAGGUAGGUAGGGGAGAACGGAAUUCCUGGUGUAGCGGUGAAAUGCGCAGAUAUCAGGAGGAACACCGGUGGCGAAGGCGGGACUCUGGGCCGAUACUGACGCUGAGGAGCGAAAGCGUGGGGGGCGAACAGG
rnacentral:rRNA from 1 species